rnacentral:rRNA from 1 species
GUGCACCAGGCGAGAAACCUCCGCAAUGCGGGCAACCGCGACGGGGGACCCCCAGUGCCGUGGCAUCGCCACGGCUUUUCCGGAGUGUAAAAAGCUCCGGGAAUAAGGGCUGGGCAAGGCCGGUGGCAGCCGCCGCGGUAAUACCGGCGGCCCGAGUGGUGGCCGCUAUUAUUGGGCCUAAAGCGUCCGUAGCCGGGCCUGUAAGUCCCUGGCGAAAUCCCACGGCUCAACCGUGGGGCUUGCUGGGGAUACUGCAGGCCUUGGGACCGGGAGAGGCCGGGGGUACCCCUGGGGUAGGGGUGAAAUCCUAUAAUCCCAGGGGGACCGCCAGUGGCGAAGGCGCCCGGCUGGAACGGGUCCGACGGUGAGGGACGAAGGCCAGGGGAGCGAACCGGAUUAGAUA